rnacentral:rRNA from 1 species
GGCUGUAAACCUCUUUUAUCAAGGAAGAAGAUCUGACGGUACUUGAUGAAUAAGCCACGGCUAAUUCCGUGCCAGCAGCCGCGGUAAUACGGGAGUGGCAAGCGUUAUCCGGAAUUAUUGGGCGUAAAGCGUCCGCAGGCGGCCUCGUAAGUCUGUCGUUAAAGCGUGGAGCUUAACUCCAUUAAGGCGAUGGAAACUGUGAGGCUUGAGUGUGGUAGGGGCAGAGGGAAUUCCCGGUGUAGCGGUGAAAUGCGUAGAUAUCGGGAAGAACACCAGUGGCGAAGGCGCUCUGCUGGGCCAUAACUGACGCUCAUGGACGAAAGCCAGGGGAGCGAAAGGGAUUAGAUACCCCUGUAGUCCUGGCCGUAAACGAUGAACACUAGGUGUCGGGGGAAUCGACCCCCUCGGUGUCGUAGCCAACGCGUUAAGUGUUCCGCCUGGGGAGUACGCACGCAAGUGUGAAACUCAAAGGAAUUGACGGGGGCCCGCACAAGCGGUGGAGUAUGUGGUUUAAUUCGAUGCAACGCGAAGAACCUUACCAGGGUUUGACAUCCUGCGAAUCCCUUGGAAACGGGGGAGUGCCUUCGGGAGCGCAGUGACAGGUGGUGCAUGGCUGUCGUCAGCUCGUGUCGUGAGAUGUUGGGUUAAGUCCCGCAACGAGCGCAACCCACGUCUUUAGUUGCCAGCAUUCAGUUGGGCACUCUAGAGAGACCGCCGGUGAUAAACCGGAGGAAGGUGUGGAUGACGUCAAGUCAUCAUGCCCCUUACAUCCUGGGCUACACACGUACUACAAUGCUACGGACAAAGGGCAGCAAACUCGCGAGAGCUAGCAAAUCCCAUAAACCGUGGCUCAGUUCAGGUCGUAGGCUGCAACUCGCCUACGUGAAGGAGGAAUCGCUAGUAAUCGCAGGUCAGCAUACUGCGGU